rnacentral:rRNA from 1 species
AGUGAACGCUGGCGGUAGGCCUAACACAUGCAAGUCGAACGGCAGCACAGUAAGAGCUUGCUCUUACGGGUGGCGAGUGGCGGACGGGUGAGGAAUACAUCGGAAUCUACUUUUUCGUGGGGGAUAACGUAGGGAAACUUACGCUAAUACCGCAUACGACCUACGGGUGAAAGCAGGGGGUCUUCGGACCUUGCGCGAUUGAAUGAGCCGAUGUCGGAUUAGCUAGUUGGCGGGGUAAAGGCCCACCAAGGCGACGAUCCGUAGCUGGUCUGAGAGGAUGAUCGGCCACACUGGAACUGAGACACGGUCCAGACUCCUACGGGAGGCAGCAGUGGGGAAUAUUGGACAAUGGGCGCAAGCCUGAUCCAGCCAUACCGCGUGGGUGAAGAAGGCCUUCGGGUUGUAAAGCCCUUUUGUUGGGAAAGAAAAGCAGCAGGUUAAUACCCCGCUGUUCUGACGGUACCCAAAGAAUAAGCACCGGCUAACUUCGUG